rnacentral:rRNA from 1 species
GACAGAGGUGCCGAGCGUUAGGCGGAAUCACUGGGCUUAAAGGGUGCGUAGGCGGUGCAGCAAGUCGGGAGUGAAAUCCCACAGCUCAACUGUGGAAUUGCUUUCGAUACUGCUGUGCUUGAGUGAGACAGAGGUAAGCGGAACUUAGGGUGGAGCGGUGAAAUGCUUAGAUAUCGUCAAGAACACCGAUAGUGUAGACAGCUUACUAGGCUACAACUGACGCUGAGGCACGAAAGUGUGGGGAUCAAACAGG